AUACGGAGGAUGCAAGCGUUAUCCGGAUUUAUUGGGUUUAAAGGGUGCGUAGGCGGUUUGCUAAGCGGGAGGUGAAAUGCCGGCGCUCAACGUCGGAAGUGCCUCCCGCACUGGUGGACUAGAAUGACUCUGCCGUGGGAGGGAUGUGUAGUGUAGCGGUGAAAUGCUUAGAGAUUACACAGAACACCGAUUGCGAAGGCAUCUCACGAAGGGUUGAUUGACGCUGAGGCACGAAAGCGUGGGGAUCAAACAGGAUUAGGUACCCUGGUAGUCCACGCAGUAAACGAUGAUGGCUAACCGCUGGUUUAUUCGGAUCAGUGGCCAAGCGAAAGCGAUAAGCCAUCCACCUGGGGAGUACGACCGCAAGGUUGAAACUCAAAGGAAUUGGCGGGG
rnacentral:rRNA from 1 species